GAUGAACGCUGGCGGCGUGCUUAACACAUGCAAGUCGAACGAUGAUCCCAGCUUGCUGGGGGAUUAGUGGCGAACGGGUGAGUAACACGUGAGUAACCUGCCCUUAACUCUGGGAUAAGCCUGGGAAACUGGGUCUAAUACCGGAUAUGACUCCUCAUCGCAUGGUGGGGGGUGGAAGCUUUAUUGUGGUUUUGGUAUGGACUCGCGGCCUAUCAGCUUGUUGGUGAGGUAANGGCUCACCAAGGCGACGACGGGUAGCCGGCCUGAGAGGGUGACCGGCCACACUGGGACUGAGACACGGCCCAGACU
rnacentral:rRNA from 1 species